AUUAAUCGAUCAAAAUAAAUUUCCCCAAUUGUUUAUGUUGUGUGUCAAGUAGCAAGGAAAAAAAACGAUCAAUCAUAUUUGGGCGUGAAGUAGUCAUCGACGAUUGCUAGGAAAGAAAAAGAAGAAAACCAAACGUGAAGGAGAGGGGAAAAAGGGUUGCGAGUUUUGUGAGUCAAUUUGGGGCUAGGAAUCGUCCUUGGUAUGUCUUUGAUUCUUCUCUUUUGAAAUUCAUUCAUCAAUUGAUGAGAAUUGAUUAAUAGCAAUGUCAAUUCCUUUCUUUUUGGUGUUAUUGAUCAUAUCAUCUUCUUCCUUACAAUAUUUGAAUGUUCAUAUGUUUAAUUCUAGUUCUAUUGGGUGUAAUUUUGAUGGUUUAUUGCUGUCAAAAUUGCUUAUGAACACCUUCAUUAAGUUUACUGCUCAAGUUUAUGUUUUGAUCAAAGUUUUGGAGUCACAAUUCUUGUUGAUUUCUAAAACUUAUGAUAAAUUCCACCAUGAAUCAAAUGGAUAUGUUUCUGUGAUUAAAUCAUGCUAUUCCGGUUAAGAAGUUAAUUUUUACCCUUAUAGGUGUUUUUAGUGAUGGCUUAAUGUGUUAAGUGGUCAAAAAGCCCUUGAAACCCAAAGCUGGAAAAUUCAGCAAGAAUUACCAAUCUGUCCCUAUGUUGGAAAAAUUAUAGAAAAAUAAACAAGAAUCGAAUUAAUGAUCUGUAAACUCUCAAAGUUUCCAUUUUGAGUCUAGUUUAUCCAUGAAUUUUUCCAGAACCUUUUGUUGCUUCUAACUUAGGUGAAAAACGCCUUUUUCACCAGCUGUUCAGAAUUUAGCUGUAUUGAUAGGCAGAUUUGUAAAAAUCAUAUAAAAUUGUAGAAAAAUUGUUUGGACCUUCAAAAGUACAUUCUAAAAAGCUAAAAGUCCUAACUUCUGUAAUAUGAAAUAAAAACGAAAGCUAUACAGGUUCUAAGUUUGUUAAAACAGCUCUAACAGGUGGUUGUUUUGGGUUCAAAACUGGGAAUUUUACUUGCUAGUUGAUUUAUGUGUUUGGCUUAUAAACUUGUCAUCUUUGGCAUUGUAGAACUCCAAUAACCUUGUUAUUUGAAAUGUAAUAGGGGCAAGGGUGAUACUUCAACCAAUACAAUAUUUGAAGUGUGAGUUGAUCACAUUUUUGGCAAAGGUGAGUGAACUUGUGGUUUUAAAAGUACAUUGUUAGGAGUAUCACAUAUCUUAGAUGGAUUGGGAUGAACCUAGUUAUCUAGGAUGCAUGUGCCCUUUUGAUGACUGAUUGUUAUGCCGUUAUUAUUGAAAAGUUUUAUGUGUAAUGAUAUCUAGGGUGUUGCACGCUAGACUCUUCCUUGUUUAUUGUGAGAUGUGAGUUAGGGUCAUGCUAGAUUGAGUUAAGUGUAUGAAAAUUAUGUGAUGUGAGCAUAUUAAUUCUGUUUGAAAAUAUUUGUUUAAAAUGUUUUAGAACAAGCAUGUUAGUGUUGUAUCAACUUCAUUGAUGUGUUGUGUAUGGAAGUAGUGUGUGAUGUAAAAUGUGAUAACUUCAUGAAAUUACAUGUUUGCAUGAAAAUAACCCUUAAAGAGGUAAUAUGUUAAUAAAAGAAAAUUCAUAAUAUUUACAUGAUUACUUGAAAGGGUAAAUGUGCAACUUCUUAUUUAAUUAAUUAUUAUUAAAUUAAAAAGGGGAACACACUAGCGGGCGAAGGGUAGUAACCUAGACAUAGGUAUAUACCCAAUCCGGAUAUUAUGAUGACCUAGUGGGUUGAAAGAUACCUAUAGGAUAAAGAGCUUAAGGCAACUGUGACGCCGAUUGGUUUUUUUAGACAACCACUCGAGACAUGGUCUUCAUACUGUUGGAUAAGGUGUCUAAGUCCAUAACUUAUUUGGUAUAUACUUGACCCGACCUGACAUGGUCCAUUUGGGUUGCACUUCACCCGAACUAUUUAUAUGGAUAAUAUUUACGAGAAUAGUAUGUUUAUGAUUUAUUAAUAUAUUAUAAGUUAUAAUAUAUUAAUAUGAAAUCAUAUUAUUUAAUUAGUAUUGAUCUUAAAAUAAUUAUGAAUUAAUUUAGUGAUCAAAAGGUGACUAAUUAAACAUGGGCUAUUAUAUUUAUAUAGUGUGGGCUAACACUCAUUAUGAAAUGAGCUAAGCUUAAAUGGGAGUCCAUGGAUGGUCCAUGGAGCUUUUAACCCAUUGAUCCUUGGAAGAGGAAAAGACAUGGGUCAUUAGGGUUUGCAUAAGAGGCUUUUGAUGCUUGAAAUGACACUAAGUGGGUGUGCAUAAGAGUGGCCGAUUUCUAGAAGCUAGACAUACUCUCUCAUAAAGUUUUCCAAGUUUGUGGUGUUUUGUGAUUUCCAUUUGAGGCAUUCACAUUAUUGGUGUUUGGCUCUCAAACUCCAAAGGAAUCAACUAACAAUCAAAGGUAUGUAACUCUUCUUGUUCUUUUAUGUUUAAAAGUACCCCAUGCCAUGCUAGAUAGGUUAUGAACCUUGGAAAAAUGAUUUUGCAUGUAUUAUAGUCAAACAUAGAUCCAAGGUUUCUAGGGUUGCAUGAACACCUUAGGAGCGUUAGUUUGCUCAAAACCCAGUUAUCGGGACUGGAGUGAUGUUGUUCAAGCGGUGGGACCAGCGCAAACAUCAUGUGGGAUUUGGGAGGUGUAUCGGUUGGAAUUGGCACCGCUCGUACCAGUCCUUAACGACAACACAUGUACAUGUAUGUGCACAGUCGGAGUAGCGAAUGUAGCGCACCGGGAGCAAUGAUUACGGGUGAGAGUUGCGCCUCACUUAGUGCAUUGGGUCGUGCCGGUCACGUUAGUAGCGAACGGGGUCUUGCUUUGGGGGAUUUUGCGGUGAAUAAAUAGACCCUAAAUAAGAGGUAAUACUUUAAUAAUUAUAACGAUGAGCGGUGAGUAAUUAUUAAUGUAAAGCAGAGAAACAAAAUAUUAUAUAAUAAUAUUCAAUUGGUGAAUCGAUAAGAUUAGUUACAACGGUGUGAAGGAGAGUAACUAAUAAAAUAAGCUCUAACUGAAGAAAUAAAAUAAAUUGAGCUAAACAUGUGUUUGUUAUGUGGUGUGAUUUGUAUGUCUUGCUAGUGAGUCUUUGACUGGGUGUGGAUACUUUGUGUGAAUCCAACUAUGAUAUGUGUGUUCUAUUAACACUGUACUAUCUUGACUCACUUAGCUUAUGCUAACACUUGUUCUUUGUUUGUUGGUUUUCUUUGUUUGUUGGAACAGGUAGCUUGACAUGAUGCCUUGGUGAGGAUGGGAGCUUUUGGGUAGUCUUAGUUAGUAUCUUUAGUUAUGAUACCAUUUAAACAUGUUGGGUUUUCAUCAUUACGUUUUUGUGAACUUUAAAUUUAGAUGGGUUUGUUUUUACAUGAAAGUAACAUUGGUGAUGUUUUUGAAAUAAACAUAAUAAGUAUUCCGCAACGUAUUCUGUUAAAUAAUGUUUUACAAAUAAA
rnacentral:lncRNA from 1 species